rnacentral:lncRNA from 1 species
AAAGUAUUCUCCUCCUGAAGACAAUUCUUCAUCGGAGCUUUAGCUUGGAUCUGUUGGGUCCAUUUGUUGUUUGUAACAGCUCCUUUGUAAUUUCCAUUUCCAGUGAAAGGUUUGCUUAUAAAGCCCCCAGCUGUGGUGUUCACUGCCUUUGUACGGGAAUUUAAAUUAAUGAAGCUUUCAAUUUUUCCUGCAAUUUUCCCCCAUCCCUCAUUAAAAGUGUUUUCCGGAAUGAUAAUGAUAGUUCUGCUAUGACCAUUGACAGAUAUGACUGACAUAAAUCUUCCAUAUUUAUUGAACUUUUGAGAGCAAUAAAUGUAGGUUGAGACAUCCCUACAUCUCCACGAUUUAAAACUCUUUCCCCUGUUAACCGAGGCUUCACAGAAUCUCUUGCAAAGCCAUAAAAGGGCAUCCUUGCUAAGGACCAUAUUCCUCACUGAGAGUCUAGUGGUCUCCACCCAUUUGUACCAUUCUCCUGUCGCCGAUGUGGAUGUGAUAUCAUACGCCUUACCCCCCAUUCGAAAAGCAAUGUUGUUUUCCAUCUUGGAGGAAAGAAAAGAUGGAGGAAGUGGGUCUAAGAAAAAAGAAGGGACAGCUCCGGUGGUGAAAGACCACCGGAGAGGAGUUUAGUCACCCUGAAGGGGCUUCUAAAAAUAAAUAUUGGACUCUGCGCCUGAGAGCUUUUUGUUCAUAAGCAUCCUAUUUUUGAAUAUCUGUCCAAGUUUAUCAAACUCCAACAGAACUAUUUUCUUUUUGGAGUGAUGUUUGGGUUGGUCAACAACCUUUGAAGAUUUUGUUUCCUGAUAUAUACCUUUUGAACCAACAGCAGAGAGCAACAAUCUUGGAAGUCAGGGAUAAUCAAGGAUGGAAUCUCAGCUUUAGAAGAAUGCUCAAUGAUUGGGAAGUGGAAAGGUUGACAGACUUUUACAACACCCUUGAACAGUUCAAGGAUUAUUCUACCAGGGUGGACAGUUUAGUUUGGUUGAAGGACAAGCAGGGAAGAUUCUUUGUCAAAUCUGCCUAUAAAUGCAAGUAUGCAACAGCAAUGCAAGUCAUCAAUUUGGUUCCUGGCCUUGGAAGAUGAUUUGGAAAGUUAAGAUCUCUUACAAGGUGGCAUGUUUUACUUGGUUGGUGGCCAGACAAGCUGUUUUAACACAAGACAAACUUAUGAAAAGGGGUCUUCAUCUAUGCUUCAGAUGCCUUAUUGUGAAUCUGAAGCUGAGACAAUAAAUCAUCUUUCUUACACUGUAAAGUGACAGAACAACUUUGGCAGUUUUUCAUCAAUUUGAGAGGGCUCGGAUGGACUAUGCCAAGGAAUACAUUAGAAGUUCUGGCUUGCUGGAACAGAGAUGGUAGUUGCCAGGACAGAGGGAGAGAUGGAAGACUGUCCCAGCUUACCACCACUCAAGGUUCAGGCACUGCCCUUGUCUCCUCCAUUCCCCCAUGAGGAUUUGUUCGGCGUCUCUUCUUGUCUGGAACUCGAACAGAAAUAGGAACCCGUUCAAAUCGUACACCUGAAGGUUGAGGACUCCCUUCCAGGUUUGAUUUGCCCAUCUCCUCAUGUCGUUUCGAGUAGGGGCUUCAUCUCCACCAGAAAACCUUCCUACCAAGCAUCUGCGGAGCAAAGUAUUCUCCUCCUGAAGACAAUUCUUCAUCGGAGCUUUAGCUUGGAUCUGUUGGGUCCAUUUGUUGUUUGUAACAGCUCCUUUGUAAUUUCCAUUUCCAGUGAAAGGUUUGCUUAUAAAGCCCCCAGCUGUGGUGUUCACUGCCUUUGUACGGGAAUUUAAAUUAAUGAAGCUUUCAAUUUUUCCUGCAAUUUUCCC